GAUGAACGCUGGCGGCGUGCCUAAUACAUGCAAGUCGAGCGAACGGACGAGAAGCUUGCUUCUCUGAUGUUAGCGGCGGACGGGUGAGUAACACGUGGAUAACCUACCUAUAAGACUGGGAUAACUUCGGGAAACCGGAGCUAAUACCGGAUAAUAUUUUGAACCGCAUGGUUCAAAAGUGAAAGACGGUCUUGCUGUCACUUAUAGAUGGAUCCGCGCUGCAUUAGCUAGUUGGUAAGGUAACGGCUUACCAAGGCAACGAUGCAUAGCCGACCUGAGAGGGUGAUCGGCCACACUGGAACUGAGACACGGUCCAGACUCCUACGGGAGGCAGCAGUAGGGAAUCUUCCGCAAUGGGCGAAAGCCUGACGGAGCAACGCCGCGUGAGUGAUGAAGGUCUUCGGAUCGUAAAACUCUGUUAUUAGGGAAGAACAUAUGUGUAAGUAACUGUGCACAUCUUGACGGUACCUAAUCAGAAAGCCACGGCUAACUACGUGCCAGCAGCCGCGGUAAUACGUAGGUGGCAAGCGUUAUCCGGAAUUAUUGGGCGUAAAGCGCGCGUAGGCGGUUUUUUAGUCUGAUGUGAAAGCCCACGGCUCAACCGGUGGAGGGUCAUUGGAAACUGGAAAACUUGAGUGCAGAAGAGGAAAGUGGAAUUCCAUGUGUAGCGGUGAAAUGCGCAGAGAUAUGGAGGAACACCAGUGGCGAAGGCGACUUUCUGGUCUGUAACUGACGCUGAUGUGCGAAAGCGUGGGGAUCAAACAGGAUUAGAUACCCUGGUAGUCCACGCCGUAAACGAUGAGUGCUAAGUGUUAGGGGGUUUCCGCCCCUUAGUGCUGCAGCUAACGCAUUAAGCACUCCGCCUGGGGAGUACGACCGCAAGGUUGAAACUCAAAGGAAUUGACGGGGACCCGCACAAGCGGUGGAGCAUGUGGUUUAAUUCGAAGCAACGCGAAGAACCUUACCAAAUCUUGACAUCCUUUGACAACUCUAGAGAUAGAGCCUUCCCCUUCGGGGGACAAAGUGACAGGUGGUGCAUGGUUGUCGUCAGCUCGUGUCGUGAGAUGUUGGGUUAAGUCCCGCAACGAGCGCAACCCUUAAGCUUAGUUGCCAUCAUUAAGUUGGGCACUCUAAGUUGACUGCCGGUGACAAACCGGAGGAAGGUGGGGAUGACGUCAAAUCAUCAUGCCCCUUAUGAUUUGGGCUACACACGUGCUACAAUGGACAAUACAAAGGGCAGCGAAACCGCGAGGUCAAGCAAAUCCCAUAAAGUUGUUCUCAGUUCGGAUUGUAGUCUGCAACUCGACUACAUGAAGCUGGAAUCGCUAGUAAUCGUAGAUCAGCAUGCUACGGAGAAUACGUUCCCGGGUCU
rnacentral:rRNA from 1 species